UACGUAGGGGGCAAGCGUUGUCCGGAUUUAUUGGGCGUAAAGAGCGUGUAGGCGGCCAGGUAGGUCCGUUGUGAAAACUGGAGGCUUAACCUCCAGCUGUCGAUGGAAACCAUCUGGCUAGAGUCCGGAAGAGGAGAGUGGAAUUCCUGGUGUAGCGGUGAAAUGCGCAGAUAUCAGGAAGAACACCCGUGGCGAAGGCGGCUCUCUGGGCUGACCUUGACGCUGAGGCGCGAAGGCGUGGGGAGCGAACGGG
rnacentral:rRNA from 1 species